AGUGAACGCUGGCGGUAGGCCUAACACAUGCAGUCGCACGGCAGCACAGUAAGAGCUUGCUCUUACGGGUGGCGAGUGGCGGACGGGUGAGGAAUACAUCGGAAUCUACUUUUUCGUGGGGGAUAACGUAGGGAAACUUACGCUAAUACCGCAUACGACCUACGGGUGAAAGCAGGGGAUCUUCGGACCUUGCGCGAUUGAAUGAGCCGAUGUCGGAUUAGCUAGUUGGCGGGGUAAAGGCCCACCAAGGCGACGAUCCGUAGCUGGUCUGAGAGGAUGAUCAGCCACACUGGAACUGAGACACGGUCCAGACUCCUACGGGAGGCAGCAGUGGGGAAUAUUGGACAAUGGGCGCAAGCCUGGUCCAGCCAUACCGCGUGGGUGAAGAAGGCCUUCGGGUUGUAAAGCCCUUUUGUUGGGAAAGAAAAGCAGCAGGUUAAUACCCCGCUGUUCUGACGGUACCCAAAGAAUAAGCACCGGCUAACUUCGUG
rnacentral:rRNA from 1 species